CUGAAAGGCUGCAAUCUUGGUUAAAUAGUGACAAACUCUACCCACUAGCCCAAAGAGAUGGCAAGGAAGCAUUGACAACAUUAUAAAGAAAGAAGCCAAAAACACUAGUCUGAUUUACAGUUUCAGCACCGCAAGUAUCCAGGUGGGAAGCAAUAUCCUCAUGAGUAAGGGUAUCCACUAAGAAAUAAAUUACUGCAAGUGGAGCAGCAGAUCUUAAACAAUAAGUAUUCCUGAUUUUGAACUGCAUCAACAUUUCUGCAGUUGUAUCCAGUUUUAAAUGGAGUUUCUG
rnacentral:lncRNA from 1 species